AAUUAGUCUGCCCCAGAAUUACUUUAAAAAUCCUGCUGGCAGGCUCCUGUCCUAUGUAUGUCACCAAGACCAGGAUCGCUCUCUCUGCCUGGACAUCAGAAUGUCUUCUUGUAGGUAUGUCUCCC